GUAUCAUAUUCUAAUUAUUAUGAAGUAAUAAGACAUUUAUUAAACAAUUAAAAAGUUUUAUUAAUUAAUAUAAAAUUUAUGUAUUUAAAAAGUAUUUAUUAAAAAAUAUUACUAAACACCCUAGAAAAUAUAGGGAUAUGUGUGGUGCCUCCUACCCAAGCCACCUGUUUGUUAACACCGCAAGGUAUCCCAGGUAGCUUUGUGCUGGUGGGGGCCUACUCUGGCUAAGCCUGAGUUAAGGCUCAAGAGGAACGAGGACCAGGGCCAGCCGCGAACGAAUCGCUGCCUCCCAGGCCCCCCGGCUCCAGAACCCAUGCCCCAGCCACCCGUUGCCAGGUGGCUGAUACCAAGACCCGGGAAGGUAGGUCCCGUACAAUACGUCACCUCCCAGACAGUCUUGGGUGGAAAUCCAAGGCAGCGGAUAGCCUCCCUACCAUUCUAGCCGGGUAUUCCCCAGACACUAGAACACUUUCGGGAAGAUACCAAGCUUCUACUGCUUUGGAUCCCCUGGGGAUGUACGAUGAUGGCGGACAGCCUCCUCACCUGUUGGAAGCUGCCAAGCUUCUACCACCAGCGCUCCCCCCGCCUGGAGUUUACUGUGUCGAGGGCAGUCAAGCCUUCUAAAGUGUCGUAAUUCACUAUCAGAGUGGGCCAGACCCCUGACAGGUUUUUUAUUUUUUCUUGUAGAGGAGAUUGUGUCCUUUUUAACGCAAAAAACCGCGAGUUUCUAUCUUUUAUAGUUUUAAAGUUAUUAACGUUUAAAGUUGACAAGAAUUCGUGGCCCAUAAUUCUGCAGGAUCUACCAUCUUCUAAAGAUCCAGCAUUUGACAGUAAAAUGUGAGGUUUAAGUUAUGUUUAGGGUUAGGUUUAGGUUAUGUUUAGGUUUAGAUUUAGGUUAUGUUUAAGGUAAGGUUUAGGUUAUGUUUAGGUUUAGGUUAGGGUUAGGUUUAAGUUAUGUUUAGGGUUAGGUUUAGGUUAUGUUUAGGUUUAGAUUUAGGUUAUGUUUAAGGUAAGGUUUAGGUUAUGUUUAGGUUUAGGUUAGGGUUAGGUUUAAGUUAUGUUUAGGGUUAGGUUUAGGUUAUGUUUAGGUUUAGAUUUAGGUUAUGUUUAAGGUAAGGUUUAGGUUAUGUUUAGG